ensembl:miRNA
CUAUUUAGGUUGGUGCAAAAGUUAUUGCAGUUUUUGCUAUUACCUUUAAUGGCAAAAACUGUAAUUACUUUUGCAUCAACCUAAUA